GUGGAUAUUCUAUCAAUGGAACAACUAGUUGUAAUUUUGAGUGGGUACGCCAUUUGGAAGAUGGAUCUGUUGAUUAUAUUGAUGGAGCAAAACAACCAAACUAUCUUGUUACUGCCGAUGAUGUGGAUACCUAUCUUGCUAUAGAAGUCCAGCCUCUGGAUGACAGGAAGCGCAAGGGAGAGCUUGUAAAGGUGUUCGCAAAUGAGCACCGAAAAAUUGUUUGUGAUCCUGAAAUGCAAAACCAUAUUGGGAAAACUCUUUACAGUGGUCAUGCUUCAUAUAAAGUAUCCUUGUCGACUGGAUAUCUUGGUAUAUGGGAACCAGCCACUUUGGCCAUUAAGAGAGAAGGUUACAGUAUCAAGUGUAGUGGAUCCAGUAGCACUGUAAUCAAUGAGAAGUUUUCCCCAAACACAAGUGUUGCAAUCCCAUAUGGACAACCUACAGAAUUUAUAGUGACCAAUUCUAGUAAUAUUCAGCAUCUCUUACGAGUGGAUAGCAACUCAAUGGAUAUUAGCUGUUCAAGAGACACAAUUGUGAUCAUCUUGAGAUUAUUUGUCAUACGGGCUGGUGAAAGAAAAAAAGGAAAGAAAAAGAGUCUGUUCUUUCACAAAUGAGGCACAUUUUUUUUCGGCUGGUCAGCUUGGGAAUAGCAUGUGUACUGUCUCAAGGGUGUAUAGUAGUGCAUUUUGAGGAUCAACUGUGCUGCCUAAAUUUCUGAGUAGGUUGUUUCUUCUCUAUUAUGUACAUCAUAAGUUGUACUGUACCUUUAUGUUCAAUGCUUUUUUCUUUUUUUUUGCUAUCCAUCAUCUCUCU
rnacentral:misc_RNA from 1 species